CCCUUAGAUGUUCUGGGCCGCACGCGUGCUACACUGAGUGGAUCAGCGGGUCAGGUUGCGCGAAAGUGUUUCCUAAUCUUUAAAUCCGCUCGUGAUGGGGAUUGACGGUUGCAAUUUUCUGUCUUGAACGAGGAAUACCUUGUAAGCGCGGGUCAUCAUCCCGCGCUGAAUACGUCCCUGCCCUUUGUACACACCGCCCGUCGCUCCUACCGAUUGAGUGGUCCGGUGAGGCUUUGGGAUCUGAGCGGAAAGAGCGUUUCGCUGUUUCUGCUCGGAAAACUCAGUCGAACCUUAUCAUUUAGAGGAAGGAGAAGUCGUAACA
rnacentral:rRNA from 1 species